GACGAACGCUGGCGGCGUGCUUAACACAUGCAAGUCGAGCGGUAAGGCCCUUUCGGGGGUACGACGAGCGGCGAACGGGUGAGUAACACGUGGGUGACCUGCCCUCAGUUCUGGGAUAAGCCUGGGAAACCGGGUCUAAUACUGGAUAUGACUCCAUGACGCAUGUUGUGGGGUGGAAAGCCUUGUGCGGCUGAGGAUGGGCCCGCGGCCUAUCAGCUUGUUGGUGGGGUGAUGGCCUACCAAGGCGACGACGGGUAGCCGGCCUGAGAGGGCGACCGGCCACACUGGGACUGAGACACGGCCCAGACUCCUACGGGAGGCAGCAGUGGGGAAUCUUGCGCAAUGGGCGAAAGCCUGACGCAGCGACGCCGCGUGAGGGAUGACGGCCUCGG
rnacentral:rRNA from 1 species